CUCAAAGACUGUUGGCAGUAGUAGACCGCUGGACUUUCGACACUGUCUCCAGUAUCGCUGUUUCCGUGGACACUUUUUUCACAAUAGGGGGUUUCCUCGUGUCGUACCUCAAGCUGAAACCGUGGAUGGAGAAAGGAAGGAGAGUCAACUGGCGUCUGUUCUACUUUCAUCGUAUCUGGAGGCUGACACCCCCCUACAUGCUAAGCCUAGUCUUCUUCAUGGGAUUUCUCAAGUUCUUCGGCUCCGGCGCGACUUGGCCCAAUACAAU